GCCUGGAUUAAAACUACAGAUCCAACAAGCCCGAUCUCGUCUGAUCUUGGAAGCUAAGCAAGGUCGGGCCUGGUUAAUACUUGGAUAGGUGACCGCCUAGGAAGACCAGGUGCUGUAGGCA
ensembl:rRNA 5S_rRNA 5S ribosomal RNA